UAUUGAAUUCAAUCUUUUAUGCUUAAUUAAAUUUUGUAUAUAUAGCAAUAUUGGGAUUGUGUGUGUACUGUGACAAUAAGAGUAUUGUUAACGAGGCAACAUGAAGUACUUCAUCAUAUUCUUUUUUUGCCUCGUCGCUGUAACAACUGUUAUGGCACAGGGUUCGAGCUACGCGACAUGCUACAGCAAUGACGAUUGUAAUCGAAUGUGCUACCGAAGAUGCGACCUCAACACUGUAGGCGUAUGCAGCAACUACAUCUGUUAUUGCGCGCUUGUAAACCCAUCACUGCCUCCUCCGAUUCCAGGACCACUUCUAUCGUCACGCCCUUGAAUAUAAAAAGUAUUUUUUGACAUUUAAAAUGUUAAUGAAUACUUAACAAUUUUACCUUCGAAAUAAAUUGUUUAAAAGGGAAUAAAAAAAUUGUUCUAAUGAAAAUUGA